GAUGAACGCUAGCUAUAGGCUUAACACAUGCAAGUCGAGGGGCAGCGAAUAGAUAGCUUGCUAUUUAUGUCGGCGACCGGCGCACGGGUGAGUAACGCGUAUCCAACCUGCCCAUAACUAAGGGAUAACCCAGCGAAAGUUGGACUAAUACCUUAUGUAUUCGUUUGAUCUCAUGAGAUUACGAAUAAAGAUUUAUCGGUUAUGGAUGGGGAUGCGUCUGAUUAGCUUGUUGGCGGGGUAACGGCCCACCAAGGCAACGAUCAGUAGGGGUUCUGAGAGGAAGGUCCCCCACAUUGGAACUGAGACACGGUCCAAACUCCUACGGGAGGCAGCAGUGAGGAAUAUUGGUCAAUGGACGCAAGUCUGAACCAGCCAAGUAGCGUGCAGGAUGACGGCCCUAUGGGUUGUAAACUGCUUUUAUAUGGGGAUAAAUUGGGGAACGUGUUCCCUUUUGCAGGUACCAUAUGAAUAAGGACCGGCUAAUUCCGUGCCAGCAGCCGCGGUAAUACGGAAGGUUCGGGCGUUAUCCGGAUUUAUUGGGUUUAAAGGGAGCGUAGGCCGUUUGGUAAGCGUGUUGUGAAAUGUAGGAGCUCAACUUCUAGAUUGCAGCGCGAACUGUCAGACUUGAGUGCGCACAACGUAGGCGGAAUUCAUGGUGUAGCGGUGAAAUGCUUAGAUAUCAUGAAGAACUCCGAUUGCGAAGGCAGCUUACGGGAGCGCAACUGACGCUGAAGCUCGAAGGUGCGGGUAUCGAACAGGAUUAGAUACCCUGGUAGUCCGCACAGUAAACGAUGGAUGCCCGCUGUUAGCACCUAGUGUUAGCGGCUAAGCGAAAGCAUUAAGCAUCCCACCUGGGGAGUACGCCGGCAACGGUGAAACUCAAAGGAAUUGACGGGGGCCCGCACAAGCGGAGGAACAUGUGGUUUAAUUCGAUGAUACGCGAGGAACCUUACCCGGGCUUGAAUUGCAGAUGAACGAUUUAGAGAUAAUGAGGUCCUUCGGGACAUCUGUGAAGGUGCUGCAUGGUUGUCGUCAGCUCGUGCCGUGAGGUGUCGGCUUAAGUGCCAUAACGAGCGCAACCCCUUUCUUUAGUUGCCAUCAUUAAGUUGGGCACUCUAAGUUGACUGCCGGUGACAAACCGGAGGAAGGUGGGGAUGACGUCAAAUCAUCAUGCCCCUUAUGAUUUGGGCUACACACGUGCUACAAUGGACAAUACAAAGGGCAGCGAAACCGCGAGGUCAAGCAAAUCCCAUAAAGUUGUUCUCAGUUCGGAUUGUAGUCUGCAACUCGACUACAUGAAGCUGGAAUCGCUAGUAAUCGUAGAUCAGCAUGCUACGGUGAAUACGUUCCCGGGUCU
rnacentral:rRNA from 1 species